AGUGUAGGAGUGACUUCCCACAAAGUGUUAAGUGACAGUGAGACGCUGGCGGUUUUCCAGGGCACUGAGGCCGUGGGCAGGCUGGCUGGCCCCACCAGGCGAAGUGUUUGCAGUCCUGGUCGAUGGACACACAGAUUUUCUAGAUGGCUGGUUUCUCUCUGGAUACCAUUAUUUGCUCAAGGUUGAGAUGCAUGCCUGUGGCUGAACCCUGAUCAUGAUAACAUUGACUCACCUGAGACAUGACUGCUGUCUAGGUCCACUCUGAUGUCGCCAGCCUGUGAAGACUGCCUGUCUCUUUCAAGGACCAGGGAGCGCAUGGACUGCAGCCACACAAGCCAAACAAGCCCUGCCAUGAACCCGGGGGGCAGGCCGCAUGCCAGAGCUCCCAAGGAAGCUGAGAACAGGAGCACUACCUGCAUUUCCGGGGGCAAACGCAGCCCUGACCGCACCUGCCGCUCACACCACAGUG
rnacentral:lncRNA from 1 species